rnacentral:rRNA from 1 species
GACGAACGCUGGCGGCGCGCUUAACACAUGCAAGUCGAACGGAAAGGCCUGCUUUCCCUUGUGGAUUGCGGGUACUCGAGUGGCGAACGGGUAAGUAACACGUGAGUGAUCUGCCCCCAACUUGGGUAUAAGCCUGGGAAACUGGGUCUAAUUCCCGAUAGGACUGCAGGGUGGUGCCUGUGGUGGAAAACGAUUUUCUAGUGGUUGGGGAUGAGCUCGCGGCGGAGGAGCUUGUUGGUGGGGUAAUGGCCUACCAAGGCGACGACGGGUAGCCGGACUGAGAGGAUGGGGCGUCGCAGGGGCACUGGGACACGGUCCAGACGCGUACGGGCGGGAGCAGGGGGGGAUGUCGGGCAAUGGGCGAAAGCCUGGUCCAGCCAUGCCGCGUGGGCGAAGAAGGGCUUCGGAGUGUAAAGGACGUUAAGUUGGGAGGAAGGGCAGUAAGUUAAUACCUUGCGGUUGUGACGUUACCAAAAGAAUAAGCAACGGCUAACUUCGUG